rnacentral:rRNA from 1 species
AGUGAACGCUGGCGGUAGGCCUAACACAUGCAAGUCGAACGGCAGCACAGUAAGAGCUUGCUCUUACGGGUGGCGAGUGGCGGACGGGUGAGGCAUACAUCGGAAUCUACUUUUUCGUGGGGGAUAACGUAGGGAAACUUACGCUAAUACCGCAUACGACCUACGGGUGAAAGCAGGGGAUCUUCGGACCUUGCGCGAUUGAAUGAGCCGAUGUCGGAUUAGCUAGUUGGCGGGGUAAAGGACCACCAAGGCGACGAUCCGUAGCUGGUCUGAGAGGAUGAUCAGCCACACUGGAACUGAGACACGGUCCAGACUCCUACGGGAGGCAGCAGUGGGGAAUAUUGGACAAUGGGCGCAAGCCUGCUCCAGCCAUACCGCGUGGGUGAAGAAGGCCUUCGGGUUGUAAAGCCCUUUUGUUGGGAAAGAAAAGCAGCAGGUUAAUACCCCGCUGUUCUGACGGUACCCAAAGAAUAAGCACCGGCUAACUUCGUG